rnacentral:rRNA from 1 species
GACGAACGCUGGCGGCGUGCUUAACACAUGCAAGUCGAACGGAAAGGCCCUGCUUUGGUGGGGUGCUCGAGUGGCGAACGGGUGAGUAACACGUGAGUAACCUGCCCUUGACUUUGGGAUAACUUCAGGAAACUGGGGCUAAUACCGGAUAGGAGCUCCUGCUGCAUGGUGGGGGUUGGAAAGUUUCGGCGGUUGGGGAUGGACUCGCGGCUUAUCAGCUUGUUGGUGGGGUAGUGGCUUACCAAGGCUUUGACGGGUAGCCGGCCUGAGAGGGUGACCGGCCACAUUGGGCCUGAGAUACGGCCCAGACUCCUACGGGAGGCAGCAGUGGGGAAUAUUGCACAAUGGGCGGAAGCCUGAUGCAGCAACGCCGCGUGCGGGAUGACGGCCUUCGGGUUGUAAACCGCUUUCGCCUGUGACGAAGCGUGAGUGACGGUAAUGGGUAAAGAAGCACCGGCUAACUACGUG